UAUUGCUAAAUCACUUAUGGAUAAUCUAAUCAAUAAAAAGGAGAGUCUUGUAGAGCAAUUUUAUAUGAACUAAACAAUAGUACUUCUCAUCCCACAUCGGUCACGGAAGGGUCUUGUCAAGGGUAUAUAACGCGCCAGAAUGCAACAUAUAUCGUCCCUUCGGGGACAUCCGAUAAAAUUGGAACGAUACAGAGAAGAUUAGCAUGGCCCCUGCGCAAGGAUGACACGCACAAAUCGAGAAAUGGUCCAAAUUUUUUUUUUAUCCGAUCCGAUCUCAUUCAACCCCAUGUAUGGAUCUGAUUAGAAUUUUUUUUUUUUUAAUUAAUAAUCUCUGCGAUUAUGUAAAACGUCUUAAUUCUUUGAAUUAUUUCCAUUGCCAGAUGUAAUUGUUGGGUUUGUUUUUAUCAAUUAGGGUUUUAUUUACAUUUUUAGUUAUUAAGUUGUGAUUUGUGCUGUUUUAUUGGUGGUCAAAGUUGGUUAGUUUAUCGGAUGCCGUUUUUCACUACUUUUUAUAACAUAUGCUUCAGAUUUAGGGGUUGGCAUAGCUAUUAGUAUUAGUAUGUUAUAUAUAACGAAUGCAUAAUCUGCAAGCUAUUUUGGCUUCAUUGUCUGGCGGCCUCAUCGUUUCGUCAACUAACAGUUUUUGUCGCUUUUUGGACUGCAGUUUUAUCGCAGUCGUUGGUAAUGUGAAACUGCCACACUACAUGAUAAACUGUUACCAGUCAAUCAACCUUGUUUAAUGGAAGUUUAAUUUUGUAGACUUGUAAUGGUUCCACCAUUGGCAGCCAUCAUGAGCACGCUUGUAAGGAGGUAUUUCGUGUUUGUUUUUUUGGUGGUUUGCCAAUUCUUUUGUGAUGGUUUGCCAAUUCUUUUGUGAUCAAGUGUAUUGACUGGUCUAUGUCAAGAAGGCUAGUGAAUUUUGUGUCACGUUUUUCCGUAGUGAAAUUCACGUACGGAGUAAGAAUUCUUGAAGCAGGCUUAGAGACAAGUUCAUAGAUUAAGGCAAAGUAGCAAUUUAAAGACUUCAAAAGGAGUGUAGAUAGUCAACUAAGCUAUCCAAGGAUUGGUUUUAGCCAUUAUAUUUCCAGAUGCCUCCUAUCGCCUGAUGAGUUGUUGAGGAGCCCACUUGACAAUGCAUCAUCUUUCACCUAUUUCUUCUAUGAAUCCUAUCGGUAAUAACUCAAGAAAUUUAGAACCAGAGACUUAACUACUGUUAAUCAGGCCGAACGAGAACGACUCAUAAGAACAGUUGCUUUCUCUUUGCCAACUCUCAAGCUGUAUCAGCAAACUCUGCUUCACCCAUGUGAGCUACACCCAAAACUGACAUAAUAGUAUAGAAGUUAUUGGUUGGAGAUCUAGCCAUAACAUAUAGCUUCGAGUUUGUUCUAAUAAGCUGCUAGAGGAGGCUGUAAAAUACUUACGAAAUAGACCUAUUGGAACUCGGAGAUUUUCAGAUAUGGCUAAAGCUCUUCUUAAAUAGUGGUUUAUAAAGCAACUCUUUUCACCAAGAAUGGGAAAGGCUGUGUAAACAAGCAUGCAUGACAAGUUGUUGGUCCGUAAGACGAUCUUAGGGGGCUUCAGACUGUUUGCAACACACUGAUUGAAGUGCCAUAGUGCAUUAGAGAUCAAACAUGCCACAGAACCCUGUUCUAGCGAUGUGGUCAAGCAAUCCCUGAACGACGGAAUGCAGCUUUUGUUCAUAAAAUUGAUGACAGAACUGAUGGUGUCCAGAUUUACAUUCUCGGCUAUGGUUUUGGACAAGCCAUCUUAUAUGGGUUUGAAGGUGACUUGUGGGUAGUUUUGUUGCUUGGAAUGUGGAAAUCGGUGUGUUUGAUAGUAAUCUUGUAAGCUUUCCUUUCCGUAAAUUGCUGCCUUCCACUUCAGUAAUAUUCGUACUGUGAAAUGUGUAAUUUGUCCACAAGGUUUAUGCUGUAUAGGAUCCAUGAUAAUGAAUGUGUAAGCUAUUUGGCUUCAGCAUGACGAUUUCCAAAUACCUAAAAGCCCCAAGAAGCAUCAAACAAAUGCAGCAGACUCAAUUCCAAUCUAAUACAAAAGAAAAACACAGAGAAUUACAAAACACAAGCACCUCCAGAUCCAUUCAGUCAUACAAGACUGAAUCCAACAGUAACCAAUUCUCAAAACAAUUCAACACCCUAUAUUCAUAGAAUCACAAACUCCAUCUUCUGCUCCAACAAACAAUAACCCUGCACAGCAGAACCAUAACAAAGCUCUAUACAUCCUGGACAUAUCAAAGAACUCAAGUCUGCACAAACUCAAAAGACAGUGCACUCAGAAUUACACACCAAUACUAGUGUUAGAAAGGGACCAAGAAGUGUCAUCUUGCACCACUCUCUAUUCCUAAUCGCACACACUAGUCCAACCCUACAUACAAUCACAGAACCAUAACUCAAUUUGACCACCUCUCUAAAUGGCAAACAAAGCAUUAUUCCUCCAGCAAAGGUCCCACUUCUCAGCCAUUAUCAUCAUAUUUCUGGAUUUCUUUACUUUUAAAGCCAGCAUCUUAAGCCUGACAUUAUUUUUGAUGAGCUUGCAUAACUCAUUCCCAUUUGCAUCACACGUCUUAUUAAGCGAAUGAUGAAUAAGACGUGUGAUGCAAAUCACUGAACAUUUUGUUGCUUGCAAUAUAUGAUUUUGGAAGGACUUGAAACGGACAUUUCUAUUCUAGGUCAAAGUAAGAAUUUUCAAGACAUUGUUUGAUAUUAGGUGAAUCAUUUAUUGUGAUUUACAGCUUCUGAUGAGGCUAACAAAGUUGGGUAAAGCUAUAAACACUGCAUUUAGGAUAUCAGAUCCAGGAUAUGAUACAGAGAUUUGUUCUUAUAAAGUAUGAUUACUAGAAACCUAAGAGCAUCCAGUUUGUGUGGGAGGGGUACUACAUUGUGAUGGUCACGUGGUAUCACGUAGGUGGUGGCUGUGAAAUCCAUGCUGUAGGUAGUGUGAUGGCCAUGCCAACAAAGCUGGGUGAUGAAGGAGGCCAGGGUGGGUGAUUGGUUGAUGAUUAAACUUUUGACUGCUUUUCACUCUGGUUGCCGAACAAGUUGAGCAGACCUCCAAAGUUGCGAUGCAUCCAUAAACAUUUUGACACGCCAAAUUUUGAAGAUCAUCCAUAAACAUUGCUUCGUGGCUGACACAAUUAACCUUUCUAUUGGACUAAUUGCCCCGGUUGGGCCUGUAUAAGAAGCCUUCGGACCAACAUUGAACUCCAAUUGGCUAUUGACCUGUUGAAACUCAUGGAAAACACCCUCCUUUUCUUCAAUUACGAUAUUUGGGUUUUCUCAUCCUGUGAAGACUCCAUGUUUUAGUAAACAUUCCAAGGAGAAUGAUUGAUUUGUCAAUCCUAUCAAACUCUGGACACAAGCUUUGAUGGAACAAAGAUUGUCCCUAUUAGUUACAACUUCAACUCAUAGAGAAACCACAUAACUACCUCCCCACCUGCAUCAGUUCAGUCGAGAAUAACAAAGAUAUUUAUGUUGCUCUCUGCCCACCAGUGAUGGAGAUGUUAAAACGAAUAUCGGCCUUUUCAUUAGCUGUCCCUUUUCCAAGAGAUGUUUGGAAACUGUUAUAAUCUUAGUGGUGAGUGGUGACAAAAACUCAUUUUUAGUCUUGAUAGUCAUCAUUAGGCUGUACAACUUGGUGGGCUUUUCCAACAUUCAGGCUGCAUACUUCGAUGAAGUGGAACAGACUAGAGGUGCCCAAAAAACCCGUUUUUUGGAAAACCGGUUAGGAAAAAAGCGGUUUCCAACCCAGUCAAACCCGUGUUUGACUCGGUUUGGGUUUUGGAAGACCAGCAUUUUGAACCCAGUUUGGAAACCCUAUUUUCGGACAAGGUAGAGACCGGUAAUCAAAAGACAAAAAGAUCCACAUUGACCAAAAACGGUUAGAAACCGUUUUGGGUAUGGUCAUACCCUGUUUUCAGGUUUUGGUCCCGUUGAUCAAUACCUGGGUCGGGUUCGGUUUAGGCAAAAACCCCGUUUUUGGGCACGACUAGUAUAGACUACGUACCUUGUAGGCAAUCUGGAGAAGCUGAAGUUUUGACUUUCUGUCAACAUAAACAAUCCAAACAUGAAGCUGUCUUUGAUGAUAUACUGAUAUUCUCUUUUCUUUUGAUUGGAUUAGCAUUAGAAGCAAAAACUGUAAGAUUAAAUGGCUUGAUUGGCAAAUUGAUCCUCAAUGUUGUUAAUUUUCAUUUUGUAAUCUCGAUCUAGUACCUUACAUUGCUAGAUUUGUUUUAA